ACCGCAUGAGUUCUACGGAAGAAAGAGGGGGACCCGCAAGGGCCUCUCGCGAGCGGAGCGGCCGAUGACUGAUUAGCCGGUUGGUGAGGUAACGGCUCACCAAAGCAACGAUCAGUAGCUGGUCUGAGAGGACGACCAGCCACACUGGGACUGAGACACGGCCCAGACUCCUACGGGAGGCAGCAGUGGGGAAUUUUGGACAAUGGGCGCAAGCCUGAUCCAGCUAUUCCGCGUGUGGGAUGAAGGCCCUCGGGUUGUAAACCACUUUUGUAGAGAACGAAAAGACACCUUCGAAUAAAGGGUGUUGCUGACGGUACUCUAAGAAUAAGCACCGGCUAACUACGUGCCAGCAGCCGCGGUAAUACGUAGGGUGCGAGCGUUAAUCGGAAUUACUGGGCGUAAAGGGUGCGCAGGCGGUUGAGUAAGACAGAUGUGAAAUCCCCGAGCUUAACUCGGGAAUGGCAUAUGUGACUGCUCGACUAGAGUGUGUCAGAGGGAGGUGGAAUUCCACGUGUAGCAGUGAAAUGCGUAGAUAUGUGGAAGAACACCGAUGGCGAAGGCAGCCUCCUGGGACAUAACU
rnacentral:rRNA from 1 species